rnacentral:rRNA from 1 species
AUUGAACGCUGGCGGCAGGCCUAACACAUGCAAGUCGAGCGGAGCGGCGGACGGGUGAGUAAUGCCUAGGAAUCUGCCUGGUAGUGGGGGAUAACGUCCGGAAACGGGCGCUAAUACCGCAUACUAUCAGAUGAGACUAGGUAGGAUUAGCUAGUUGGUGGGGUAAAGGCCUACCAAGGCCACGAUCCGUAACUGGUCUGAGAGGAGGAUCAGUCAAACUGGAACUUAGACACGGUCCAGACUCCUACGGGAGGCAGCAGUGGGGAAUAUUGGAAAAUGGGCGAAAGCCUGAUCCAGCCAUGCCUCGUGUGUGAAGAAGGUCUUCGGAUUGUAAAGCACUUUAAGUUGGGAGGCGUUACCCGCAGAAGAAGCACCGGCUAACUCCGUGCCAGCAGCCGCGGUAAUUC